UACGAAGGGAGCUAGCGUUGUUCGGAAUUACUGGGCGUAAAGCGCGCGUAGGCGGCUUUGUAAGUUAGAGGUGAAAGCCCGGGGCUCAACCCCGGAACUGCCUUUAAGACUGCAUCGCUUGAAUCCGGGAGAGGUGAGUGGAAUUCCGAGUGUAGAGGUGAAAUUCGUAGAUAUUCGGAAGAACACCAGUGGCGAAGGCGGCUCACUGGACCGGUAUUGACGCUGAUGUGCGAAAGCGUGGGGAGCAAACAGG
rnacentral:rRNA from 1 species